rnacentral:lncRNA from 12 species
CCCCUGGACAUCUACGUGAACGUCUGUAAGCACCGGAGGCAAUGCGGCAUUCCUCACGCCGCGUUGGGUUUUAUGGCCUUUGUUCCAUUUUGAUCAACAAAAUCUAGUGAGAAAACCAGGCUUCCUGUGAGGCAGGAGCCAAAACCAGUGUCAGGUUCUCACCCUGAACCUUAUCUUCCCUUUAAUAACAGACACCAGGCCACCUGCAAAAACAUAGCCACAGUUACUGAUGACUUUUUAGAAAAUAAAUAUUCACAACAGCUUUGUGAGGGAGCAAAGGCCGUUGCCUCUGAACUUCAAGUGGCCAUCGAGAAUCUUCUCACCCUGGAUCACAGAAGUCGUACACUUGGUAAGAGCAGAAAACCAUGCAGCCUCGCGUCCCAGGCAGGGCUCCUGGGGAACCUCCAGCCUUGGAUCCUGAGUGCCACUUGCCAGUUACUCGAUGCGAGGCCUUGAGAGAAUCCCUCCCUCUUUCAUUCAGUUGGAGGCUUUUAUCAAGCCAGGUAAGGGUGAAACUGGACAAAGAAGGAGGUAUGUCUUUGGUGACUCAAGUCAAAGUUUGGUUUGUAAAUCCUAGAGCAGGAAGGAAGCCCAUGAAUAAACAAUAGAUCCGGAACACUUGCAGGUGAUGCAAGAGGCAGUUUGCCUGCUUCGGGGGAGCAAAGGAUUCUCUGGGUAGAAACACAAAGAAUUGCACUGAGAAGGGGCUCUGUGUUCUCCCCAGCCAGUCCCAUGGAAGAGGGUACAAAACCCACAGGAGGGUCUGGGAUAUGCAAGGGGAGCUGAGGAGGGUGGUAGGUGGAUGAAGCAACCCCAAAUGCAGCAUGGGGGAUCCCCAGACAGCUGGAAAUGAGAUGGCCUCGCUGACUUCCCUAUUUUCCGUGACGCUCAUGGAGCAGCUAUUUCCAGAAGCUUUGGACCAGUAAAGAGCCUCCAGCAUCAGUCUGGUCAACCAACUCUCUUCAAGGCCAGGCGGGAACGAGGACACUUCAGCAAGGAUAGUUGUUAGUGAUGAAUGUGAGACUUGCCGCCUUCCUUGCCUCCCUCAUGAUCCAGCACCACCACCAACCUUCCUGGAAUUUGCCAAAAACACUGGAUAGAGAAGCAGGGUCCUAAAUGAGCUGAGCCCAGGACCGUCAUACACGGGACUGCAGGUUGUUCAUUGCUACACAACACCUUGCCCAGGGAGCAAGAAGAGGCCAAAUUCUAGCUGGUGCUUUGCCAUCGCACGCUGCUGCUGAAAGGGGCACUUUUUCCAACUGGCCCAGUGUUGCCAGAGGCUAGUGGCGGCUGGACUGAGCAAACCUUGAUUGAACAGAGCUCCCUCUGAAUGCACUGAAAAGUUUUCAUCACAAGCAGAUUGGGAUUCAACGUAGAAACUAAUUUGUAGUAUAUAAAAAUAAAGUUACAGCUCUUGCACA